rnacentral:rRNA from 1 species
GAUGAACGCUGGCGGCGUGCCUAAUACAUGCAAGUCGAGCGAACAGACGAGGAGCUUGCUCCUCUGACGUUAGCGGCGGACGGGUGAGUAACACGUGGAUAACCUACCUAUAAGACUGGGAUAACUUCGGGAAACCGGAGCUAAUACCGGAUAAUAUAUUGAACCGCAUGGUUCAAUAGUGAAAGACGGUUUUGCUGUCACUUAUAGAUGGAUCCGCGCCGCAUUAGCUAGUUGGUAAGGUAACGGCUUACCAAGGCGACGAUGCGUAGCCGACCUGAGAGGGUGAUCGGCCACACUGGAACUGAGACAGGGUCCAGACUCCUACGGGAGGGAGCAGUAGGGAAUCUUCCGCAAUGGGCGAAAGCCUGACGGAGCAACGCCGCGUGAGUGAUGAAGGUCUUCGGAUCGUAAAACUCGGUUAUUAGGGAAGAACAAAUGUGUAAGUAACUAUGCACGUCUUGACGGUACCUAAUCAGAAAGCCACGGCUAACUACGUG